CCCUUAGAUGUUCUGGGCUGCACACGUGCUACACUGGCAGGUUCAGCGAGCUUCAUGCCCUGAUCUGAAAGGAAUGGGAAAUCUUUUCAAAACCUGCCGUGCUUGGGAUAGAUGUUUGCAAUUAUUCAUCUUCAACGAGGAUUGCCUUGUAAGCCCACGUCAUCAGCGUGCAUUGAAUACGACCCUGUAUUCUGUACACACCGCCCGUCGCUCCUACCGAUUGAAGUUUUCGGUGAGUUGACAGGAGGAUUUUUUUGAAACUGGUUCGCCAGUGGAUUUUAGAUCCAAAUGCCAACGAAUCGAUGGCUUUAGAGGAAGGAGAAGUCGUAACA
rnacentral:rRNA from 1 species